rnacentral:rRNA from 2 species
CCUGCGGAAGGAUCAUUACCGAGUGAGGGCCCUCUGGGUCCAACCUCCCACCCGUGUUUAUUUUACCUUGUUGCUUCGGCGGGCCCGCCUUAACUGGCCGCCGGGGGGCUUACGCCCCCGGGCCCGCGCCCGCCGAAGACACCCUCGAACUCUGUCUGAAGAUUGAAGUCUGAGUGAAAAUAUAAAUUAUUUAAAACUUUCAACAACGGAUCUCUUGGUUCCGGCAUCGAUGAAGAACGCAGCGAAAUGCGAUACGUAAUGUGAAUUGCAAAUUCAGUGAAUCAUCGAGUCUUUGAACGCACAUUGCGCCCCCUGGUAUUCCGGGGGGCAUGCCUGUCCGAGCGUCAUUGCUGCCCUCAAGCCCGGCUUGUGUGUUGGGCCCCGUCCCCCGAUCUCCGGGGGACGGGCCCGAAAGGCAGCGGCGGCACCGCGUCCGGUCCUCGAGCGUAUGGGGCUUUGUCACCCGCUCUGUAGGCCCGGCCGGCGCUUGCCGAUCAACCCAAAUUUUUAUCCAGGUUGACCUCGGAUCAG